AUGGAUUGGAAUUCAAAGGUGCUUUGUUGGAAUGUGAGGGGUUUGAAUAACCCAGCGAAGAGGAAUGUUGUGCGGGAGUUUGUGAUCGAAGCAAAAGUUAACCUUGCGUGUUUGCAAGAAACGAAACUUGAUGUAAUAGACCCUUUUAUUGUUAUGCAAUGCAUGGGGCCAUUGUUUGAUGGCUUUGCCUACUUGCCUGCGUCAGACACUCGUGGUGGUAUUCUCUUGGGGUGGGACACGACGACUUUGGACGUGGACAACAUUAUCUUGGACACUCACUCUCUCAUGGGUCUGGUGCACAACAAGAACGGGUCAGCAUUGUGGGUGACAUUUGUUUAUGGGCCGCAAGGGGAUGAUGAGAAGAUGCAAUUUCUUGUUGAGCUUCAUAAUAGACGUGCGGUUUGUCCGGGGCCAUGGAUGGUGCUCGGGGAUUUUAAUAUGAUCCUGCGAGCGGACGAGACGAGCAACAAUAAUUUAAACAGGAGAAUCAUGAGAAGGUUUAAUGAAUUUGUGGAUGAUUGUGAGCUCAAGGAGCCAUACUUGCAUGGGAGGCGUUUCACUUGA
rnacentral:rRNA from 1 species